rnacentral:lncRNA from 1 species
CAUUUUAAUAAGGAGAGGUCCACUAAGUAAACCAAAUUAUUGAAUUAAAUGCUUUUCUGGAAAUGUACUUCAUGAAGAUGCUGAACUCUCCUAAUAACAACCAAGUCAUUACUAAUUUAAUUAUUUUGAUUCCUCCUAUCCCACACACAUAUGUUCAGGAUAAAAAAGAGCAAGAAUAGCUCACAUACCAUGUGAACCACUUUUGGGAAUCAGAUGUGUACAUUCCAAAGUAAAAUGACUUCAGUGUAUAUAUACAAGGAUGAUAAAUGUCCUGCUGAGUACAGUGGCAAAACAACAAGAAGAACCGUAAAGCUCCUGCACAUACUUAUAUACUGAAUAGGACCAUGAAAAAGUGCUUAAGCUCAAACAGGUUAUUGGUUUGUCUUUUCAUCCACAGCACAGCUCAAAAUGAGCACAGCUUCCCCACAGAGUGAGUGCUAUGAGCAAUGUAGCAGUUCAUCUGCUUCAAGAUCUUCUUCCCACUACCAGCUCUACUGGGAGAAUGUUCAUUACAUCAUCAUAUAUCUGUCUGAAUUGGAAAAAACAUCUCUAAAUCCUACAUUUAAUUUUUUGGUCAAGUUGUGAAGAAUCACUACCCAAUGCAUAGAAUUACUUUAGCCAAACCGAAUUUUCUGUGAGGUUUUAAUAAUUAACAGUAACACUUCACUUCAUCUUUUAUGCUACUAAAGAUGGGGUUCACACGUUCAGAAGAGGGUAUGUGAAGUAGAGACUAAGUUGUGAUUUGGCUGCAAAUAAUAAGGAAAAGUCUCCGGUGAGUUAUUAAGGUUUCUUCCCUUGAAAAAGGUAGUAAUUUACAGAAACUGAUACAUUAUUAUUAAAACACAAUAAAAAUGGUGCACACAGUUAAAAUAUUUGAAGUCAUAUAUCAACCUAAAAUAGCUACUAUCUUUGCUAUCAAUUGGAUAAUAUUUAUAUUACAUAUUAACUGAAGUAAUCAGAAGGAAAUAAAACUGAAAAAAUAAGCCAGAUAGGAAAAAAUUAAUUUGAAAUAUGACAAUAUGUUUAAUAGUAUAAUUAAAAAGACUAACU